rnacentral:lncRNA from 1 species
AAUGCAGAGAGGAUGCACACUCUGAAGAGGGCAGGCAGCUUCUGCACCGAGGGAGCAAAGGGGCGUGUCAGGGGCAGCUGCUGGAAGGAGGCGCAAGCACCACGGAGAGUCUGGGAUGCCCAGCCAAGGAGCCCUGGAAGGGUUGCCCUGGGGACUGACACUGUGGGCUCUGUGUUUUAGCCAAGUCACCCAGGCAGCUGAACAGAAGAUGGACUGGAGGGAGAAGCCUGGAUGAUCGCUCAGCAACAAAGGAGCCAGAAAAGGCAAGGUGUACGCACCGUGUGCAGCAUGGGCAAGCUGCAGGCAUGCAGAACUUCUGAGUCCUAACCAUGGCUGGUGGCUCUUCCAGGAACAUGGUUUCCUGGACCCAAAAGAUGAGGAAACUGAGGCUUGGAGAGGCUCUCUGCCUUUGUCAACCUGGAGAUGCUGGGAAGGAAGUGAGGCCCAUCCCACCUCAGAUGCCUGUCCUCUGUCGUCAGGAGCAUUCUCUUGUUCUUCCGGGCUUGGCCAAGCGGUGGUAAACCCCACAUGUGGUUCUGUGGUUGCCCACACAGUCCUAAAAAUAGCCAACAGGAACCCAGGGGCUCCCCCUUGGUGAGUGGCAGCAGGCCCAGUCCUCAGGCAGCCACCGACCUGCUCACUCCCCACAGGCGAGCAGGUCCUGUCUAGGAAGGGGCUGGGUGGCCUGGGUCCCAUGCAUGAUGAGCCAGAGGCUGUGCCAAGCUUAUAGCAAAUAUUAUUUUAUUUCAUUAUGUUUUCUUACAUCUGUGAUGUGGAGGCCAUAGCGCCACUGGACUCAUGAGGAGACUGAGGCUCAGAGCAAUGAAGUGACCUGCUCAAAGUUAAGGAGCUUCAGUGAGGACCCAAUUUGUUCUGAUCCUAAGGUCACUAUCCUUAAUCCCUCUCCCUGUGGGGUCUUCCCUAUCUUGAGCCAGUGGACAGCUGUGCAGUGGCAAGAAAAAGGCCUUCAGAGCUACGCAAACCUGGCUUCAAAUCCCAGCCUCCCUGAUGAGCCCUGGUGGUCUUGGAGCUGUAACACUCACCGCGAAGAUCUGCAGCUUCACUCCUGAGCCCAGCGAGACCAUGAACCCACCGGGAGGAGCGAACAACUCCAGACGCACUGCCUUAAGAGCUGUAACACUCACUGCGAAGGUCUGCAGCUUCACUCCUGAGCCAGCGAGACCACGAACCCACGGGAAGGAAGAACUCUGAACACAUCUGAACAUCAGAAGGGAUAGACUCCAGACGCGCCACCUUAAGAGCUGUAACACUGUGAGGGUCCGCGGCUUCAUUCUUGAAGUCAGUGAGACCAAGAACCCACCAAUUCCAGACACAAAAUGACACAGUCCCUGCCCACAUGGAGCUGACAUUCUCAUGGAGAGAAAGGGGCAAAUAAACAAAUGUACAA